GACGAACGCUGGCGGCGUGCCUAAUACAUGCAAGUAGAACGCUGAAGAGAGGAGCUUGCUCUUCUUGGAUGCGUUGCGAACGGGUGAGUAACGCGUAGGUAACCUGCCUUGUAGCGGGGGAUAACUAUUGGAAACGAUAGCUAAUACCGCAUAACAAUGGAUGACCCAUGUCAUUUAUUUGAAAGGGGCAAAUGCUCCACUACAAGAUGGACCUGCGUUGUAUUAGCUAGUAGGUGAGGUAACGGCUCACCUAGGCGACGAUACAUAGCCGACCUGAGAGGGUGAUCGGCCACACUGGGACUGAGACACGGCCCAGACUCCUACGGGAGGCAGCAGUAGGGAAUCUUCGGCAAUGGGGGCAACCCUGACCGAGCAACGCCGCGUGAGUGAAGAAGGUUUUCGGAUCGUAAAGCUCUGUUGUAAGUCAAGAACGAGUGUGAGAGUGGAAAGUUCACACUGUGACGGUAGCUUACCAGAAAGGGACGGCUAACUACGUG
rnacentral:rRNA from 1 species